rnacentral:rRNA from 1 species
UACGAAGGGGGCUAGCGUUGUUCGGAAUUACUGGGCGUAAAGCGCGCGCAGGCGGUCUUCCAAGUCAGUGGUGAAAGCCCGGAGCUCAACUCCGGAACUGCCAUUGAAACUGUGAGACUUGAGGAUGAGAGAGGUGAGUGGAAUUCCCCAGUGUAGAGGUAAAAAUUCGUAGAUAUUGGGAAGAACACCGGUGGCGAAGGCGGCUCACUGGCUCAUUUCUGACGCUCAGGCGCGACAGCGUGGGGGAUCAAACAGG